GAUGAACGCUGGCGGCGUGCCUAACACAUGCAAGUCGAGCGAUUCUCUUCGGAGAAGAGCGGCGGACGGGUGAGUAACGCGUGGGUAACCUGCCCUGUACACACGGAUAACAUACCGAAAGGUAUGCUAAUACGAGAUGAUAUGCUUUUAUCGCAUGGUAGAAGUAUCAAAGCUUUUGCGGUACAGGAUGGACCCGCGUCUGAUUAGCUAGUUGGUAAGGUAACGGCUUACCAAGGCGACGAUCAGUAGCCGACCUGAGAGGGUGCUCGGCCACAUUGGAACUGAGACACGGUCCAAACUCCUACGGGAGGCAGCAGUGGGGAAUAUUGCACAAUGGGCGAAAGCCUGAUGCAGCAACGCCGCGUGAGCGAUGAAGGCCUUCGGGUCGUAAAGCUCUGUCCUCAAGGAAGAUAAUGACGGUACUUGAGGAGGAAGCCCCGGCUAACUACGUGCCAGCCGCCGCUGUAA
rnacentral:rRNA from 1 species